rnacentral:lncRNA from 1 species
AAGAACAAUGUAUAUAAUAUUAAAUAUUUCAAAUGUGCCAAGUUACAUACUCCAUUGUAUAUCAAAACAGUAAAAAUUGUAAUUAUUACAACUAAUUAGAGUUAGAAAUUAACAAAGAGAAAUUAAUAAAGAAAAUCUCUUAAAAUUUCUACAUUUCUUCAUGUUCAGUAUUAGUAUUAUCUUGACGUCCAACCUGAAACAAUUAAACAAAACGUACAAAUCUUUUAAAAUAUUAUCAAGUUUGUAAAUAAAAUAAUAUAUAAAUGCAAAAUACCUAGCCUAUAACAUUGAAUGCAAAUGAUAUGUCCAUACCUGAACCAAGUAAAGGAACAUGAGUGGAAGUAGAUGAACGUGGAGCAACUACAAUGUUUUCUUUCCCUAAAGCCCAUGAGUAUUAAGUUGCAAGAAAACUGUUAUAACUAGAUUUAUAAGAUGAAAGAGAAGCAAUUAACACAAAACCAAUUGAGCUCAAACUCUAACAAAGUUUAUUGAUCCCAUUCAGUGCAUAUACUCUUGUUUUUUCCUAUUCAUAGCAUUUUCUUUACUGACUCCUCAGUGCUGCAAAAAUAAGUACGAGGGUCAUGUAUAUUUCCUAAAUUAAAUAUUUGAUGACCUAUUUAUUGAUUAAAUCUAUUUUGCAAAGGUAAGAUUAUUUCUCAGUAAAUCUAUAACUUUAAGUAGCUUAAACCAACACUUCCCUAGUGAUAUUAUGUACUAAAAUACCAGUAUAUAACUGCAACCCACAAAUAUAAUGAACAUGCAAAUACCAGUUUACCUAAGAAUAAUCAACCUAUCUCAAAUGCUAUAGAAAAACUAAGAUAAGUUAGAGCAGAAGUUCACCUCUGAAAUGGCUAUAGUGGACCACCAAUUGAAGAAGCAAUGUUGAUAUAUUUCGCAGGCAAUGAUUUGCCAUACCAUUCACUUCAAUAACAUACCCUUUAUAAACAGGGACAAUUUC